rnacentral:rRNA from 1 species
GACGAACCGUGCGAACGUUGUUCGGAAUCGCUGGGCUUAAAGGGCGCGUAGGCGGGGUGGACAGUCUAUGGUGAAAUACUUCGGCUCAACCGGAGAACUGCCGUGGAUACUGCCACUCUCGAGGGGUGUAGGGGCAUGCGGAACUUCGGGUGGAGCGGUGAAAUGCGUAGAUAUCCGAAGGAACGCCGGUGGCGAAAGCGGCGUGCUGGACACCUUCUGACGCUGAGGCGCGAAAGCCAGGGGAGCAAACGGG